AUGAACAACAAGAUCUUCCUCUGGCUUGCAUCCCUCGGCAGGUGCUGGACGGCGGAGCGCCGGGCACGCCACAGCUUUACUCAGGACACGGCUUGCAUCCUAUGCUCGCAGGAGACUGAGUCCAUUGGCCAUCUACUCUAUGGAUGUAUUUUCUCUAGGAUCACCUGGCAUGAAAUUCUAUCAUGGUGCCGGCUCACUACACCACCGAUGGACAGCGCGACUAUCUUCUUCGCGUGGUGGUCCAUGGCCAUCGAAGAAUCUCCGAGCUAUCUACGGAAGGGCCUCAACUCCAUUGUGGCGCUGACCGCCUAGGCCAUUUGGAAGCACCGCAAUGCGGUCAUAUUCGAGGGUCGGUGCCCUCUACCGAUGACCUAG
rnacentral:rRNA from 1 species